rnacentral:tRNA from 1 species
GUGGGCGUAGCUCAAUUGGUUAGAGCGCCAGGCUGUGGCCCUGGAGGUUUGCGGGUUCGAGCCCCGUCGCUCACCCCA